UUAAGCGACUAAGCGUACACGGUGGAUGCCCUGGCAGUCAGAGGCGAUGAAGGGCGUGCUAAUCUGCGAUAAGCGCCGGUAAGGUGAUAUGAACCGUUAUAACCGGCGAUACCCGAAUGGGGAAACCCAGUGUGAUUCGUCACACUAUCAUUAACUGAAUCCAUAGGUUAAUGAGGCGAACCGGGGGAACUGAAACAUCUAAGUACCCCGAGGAAAAGAAAUCAACCGAGAUUCCCCCAGUAGCGGCGAGCGAACGGGGAGGAGCCCAGAGCCUGAAUCAGCAUGUGUGUUAGUGGAAGCGUCUGGAAAGGCGCGCGAUACAGGGUGACAGCCCCGUACACAAAAGCGCAUGUGCUGUGAGCUCGAUGAGUAGGGCGGGACACGUGGUAUCCUGUCUGAAUAUGGGGGGACCAUCCUCCAAGGCUAAAUACUCCUGACUGACCGAUAGUGAACCAGUACCGUGAGGGAAAGGCGAAAAGAACCCCGGCGAGGGGAGUGAAAAAGAACCUGAAACCGUGUACGUACAAGCAGUGGGAGCACCCUUCGGGGUGUGACUGCGUACCUUUUGUAUAAUGGGUCAGCGACUUAUAUUCUGUAGCAAGGUUAACCGUAUAGGGGAGCCGGAGGGAAACCGAGUCUUAAUUGGGCGUUAAGUUGCAGGGUAUAGACCCGAAACCCGGUGAUCUAGCCAUGGGCAGGUUGAAGGUUGGGUAACACUAACUGGAGGACCGAACCGACUAAUGUUGAAAAAUUAGCGGAUGACCUGUGGCUGGGGGUGAAAGGCCAAUCAAACCGGGAGAUAGCUGGUUCUCCCCGAAAGCUAUUUAGGUAGCGCCUCGUGAAUUCAUCUCCGGGGGUAGAGCACUGUUUCGGCUAGGGGGCCAUCCCGGCUUACCAACCCGAUGCAAACUGCGAAUACCGGAGAAUGUUAUCACGGGAGACACACGGCGGGUGCUAACGUCCGUCGUGAAGAGGGAAACAACCCAGACCGCCAGCUAAGGUCCCAAAGUCAUGGUUAAGUGGGAAACGAUGUGGGAAGGCCCAGACAGCCAGGAUGUUGGCUUAGAAGCAGCCAUCAUUUAAAGAAAGCGUAAUAGCUCACUGGUCGAGUCGGCCUGCGCGGAAGAUGUAACGGGGCUAAACCAUGCACCGAAGCUGCGGCAGCGAACGUAUCACCCAAGACAACUUUACGGAGUUGACGAUUGACGGAGCGAAGCGACGUCAAAGCGUUCAUUAAAGUCGAGUUGGCUUAGGGAUACGUUCGUUGGGUAGGGGAGCGUUCUGUAAGCCUGUGAAGGUGUGUCGUGAGGCAUGCUGGAGGUAUCAGAAGUGCGAAUGCUGACAUAAGUAACGAUAAAGCGGGUGAAAAGCCCGCUCGCCGGAAGACCAAGGGUUCCUGUCCAACGUUAAUCGGGGCAGGGUGAGUCGACCCCUAAGGCGAGGCCGAAAGGCGUAGUCGAUGGGAAACGGGUUAAUAUUCCCGUACUUGGUGUUACUGCGAAGGGGGGACGGAGAAGGCUAUGUUGGCCGGGCGACGGUUGUCCCGGUUUAAGCGUGUAGGUGUGUGUUCCAGGUAAAUCCGGUUCACUUUAACACUGAGGCGUGACGACGAGGCACUACGGUGCUGAAGCAACAAAUGCCCUGCUUCCAGGAAAAGCCUCUAAGCAUCAGGUAACAUCAAAUCGUACCCCAAACCGACACAGGUGGUCAGGUAGAGAAUACCAAGGCGCUUGAGAGAACUCGGGUGAAGGAACUAGGCAAAAUGGUGCCGUAACUUCGGGAGAAGGCACGCUGACACGUAGGUGAAGUGAUUUACUCAUGGAGCUGAAGUCAGUCGAAGAUACCAGCUGGCUGCAACUGUUUAUUAAAAACACAGCACUGUGCAAACACGAAAGUGGACGUAUACGGUGUGACGCCUGCCCGGUGCCGGAAGGUUAAUUGAUGGGGUCAGCGCAAGCGAAGCUCCUGAUCGAAGCCCCGGUAAACGGCGGCCGUAACUAUAACGGUCCUAAGGUAGCGAAAUUCCUUGUCGGGUAAGUUCCGACCUGCACGAAUGGCGUAAUGAUGGCCAGGCUGUCUCCACCCGAGACUCAGUGAAAUUGAACUCGCUGUGAAGAUGCAGUGUACCCGCGGCAAGACGGAAAGACCCCGUGAACCUUUACUAUAGCUUGACACUGAACAUUGAGCCUUGAUGUGUAGGAUAGGUGGGAGGCUUUGAAGUGUGGACGCCAGUCUGCAUGGAGCCGACCUUGAAAUACCACCCUUUAAUGUUUGAUGUUCUAACGUGGACCCGUAAUCCGGGUUGCGGACAGUGUCUGGUGGGUAGUUUGACUGGGGCGGUCUCCUCCUAAAGAGUAACGGAGGAGCACGAAGGUUGGCUAAUCCUGGUCGGACAUCAGGAGGUUAGUGCAAUGGCAUAAGCCAGCUUGACUGCGAGCGUGACGGCGCGAGCAGGUGCGAAAGCAGGUCAUAGUGAUCCGGUGGUUCUGAAUGGAAGGGCCAUCGCUCAACGGAUAAAAGGUACUCCGGGGAUAACAGGCUGAUACCGCCCAAGAGUUCAUAUCGACGGCGGUGUUUGGCACCUCGAUGUCGGCUCAUCACAUCCUGGGGCUGAAGUAGGUCCCAAGGGUAUGGCUGUUCGCCAUUUAAAGUGGUACGCGAGCUGGGUUUAGAACGUCGUGAGACAGUUCGGUCCCUAUCUGCCGUGGGCGCUGGAGAACUGAGGGGGGCUGCUCCUAGUACGAGAGGACCGGAGUGGACGCAUCACUGGUGUUCGGGUUGUCAUGCCAAUGGCACUGCCCGGUAGCUAAAUGCGGAAGAGAUAAGUGCUGAAAGCAUCUAAGCACGAAACUUGCCCCGAGAUGAGUUCUCCCUGAGACUUAGAGUCUCCUGAAGGAACGUUGAAGACGACGACGUUGAUAGGCCGGGUGUGUAAGCGCAGCGAUGCGUUGAGCUAACCGGUACUAAUGAACCGUGAGGCUUAACCUU
rnacentral:rRNA from 3 species